AAAAAACUUUUUUCCGUCAUUUUUUUAUUAUCUUUUCUUUCUCUUCUUCUUCUUCACGUCUUUUUCUUCUUACUCUCCUUUUUUUCUCUCUUUUCUUUUUUCUUUCUCUUUUAUCCUUUCACUACCACUGCCUGCCGGUGUGAUAUGUCGUCGUCUUGAAUCGACAAGAACAAAAUGUUGCGGGAUCUGCCACCGCUCGAAACCGUCGCCUCCACUGCUGCACGAAACCGCCAACGCCACCGCUUGAAGCUGCCGCGCCCCUGCCCCCUCUAUAAUUUAAUUUAGGGUUUGAUAUCUUCAGUUUUAGAGUUUUUGUUUUUUUGUUUCUUUUUGUUAAAUUUUCUUGGUUUGGGUUUCUUCUGUAACAAAAUUUUACAGUGAAAUUUACAGCAAGGGUUUGGUAUAAUUAGCUUAGGAUUCCUUUAUUGUUGGGUUUUGUUUGUUUUGGUGGGAUUAUUGGAAUUAUUUGUAAUCUACUGAUGAUUUUGUGUUUGAUUUUCUUCUUUCCCUUUGGAAUCAUGCUUUGUCUCUCAUUUUGAAGUUUGCUGGUUUUACAAUUUCGUUAUAAUAAUGAAAUAAGAAAAAAUUGUUUCAAUAUAAUUUAAAAAUAUAUAAAAACAGAUAUUAUUAUAAUUAAUUUUUAUUUUUUGGGGUAAAUUUUAUAAGUUGUAAGGGGUAUUUUAGUGCUUACAUACUCUAUGCAAUUCAAACUAGGGGUAGUAAUGUAGUAUGUUCUUUUAGCUUAAUAAGAG
rnacentral:lncRNA from 1 species